rnacentral:tRNA from 1 species
GCCGGGAUGUUGAAAUUGGCAGACAAGCACGCUUGAGGUGCGUGUGGAGAAAUCCGUGGAGGUUCGAGUCCUCUUCCCGGCA